CCUGUAUUAUCAGUGAAAUGUAGAGUUCACUAUAUGCAUAGCCUAUGUGUAGGUUGACUAUGGAUUUAUACUUCAGUGUGAUUUAAAGAGGAAUGUAGGGCUUAAACAGGCAACAUAAUUCCGCUAUUUACAAGGUUAAAUUUAGUAUAUAUUGGUAAAUAUACUACCCGUAACUUAAAGAUGGUGUGGUGUACAAAAAUACUCAUUCAAUAGGGAAAGGGAUCAUUCUAAUAUACGUGAGAACAAAACAUUUCAGAGCAAAAGACAGUUCACAAUAUCUACUGUAAAAUGGCAACUUCUCUAGGAUCAGGUCAUAAUAGUUCAGAUUUAGUGAAGGACUAUGUUUGUGGAGGUUGUGAAAGUAGAAACAUUUAUGAAAGAGCAGAUUAUUUUUGUGCAACAUGUACAAAGUUUUUCUGCAGAAAAUGCAUUGAUCCUCAUGAUCAAAUAUAUGCAAACCAUUCCCAAUAUGGAAGAGGAGAAACAAAUAAAUGGCCCCUUACAAAGACAAUGGAGGAUUUGCUACUUAAAUGUGAUUUGCAUAAAGACAAGAAACUGAAAAUGUUUUGUCAGGACCUCAGUCAGCUGUCUUGCACUGAUUGUGCUUUUCUGAAUCACAGACAGUGCACAAAUGUGGCUCUUAUUUCUGAGUCAGACAAAAACCUGUCAUUGGAUAUGCAACAGUUGUCAAACAAACUGCAAACUAUUGUUGAUGAACUAAAUAAGUUUAAGAUUAAACAAGAGGCCAGCAUUCAAUCCGUGGAGGUAUCAUGUAAUCAAAAAUUGCUAGAAAUCCAAGACCUGCGAAAGAAAUUAAAUGCUGCUUUGGACAGACUAGAAAAUACAACAUUGAAAGAAUUGGAUGAAAUUCGGACCACAAUGCUAACCUCUCUCAAAAACGAUGUUGACACCUGCAUCAAACUGAAGGAUGACUUAAAAACACUCAUUAAAGCUGUAAAUGGCCUUUGUGAUAAGAGCAAGAAAGAAAUUGAGUUCAUAGCCAGCAGGAAAUGUCUGGACAAAAUACAAGAGUCAGAGUCAUAUCUGAAGGAGAACCAUGUAAAGGUGCAGAGUUUGAUGAUAUUCCAAGCAAACGCUGACAUGGAGCAGUGCCUGUCUAAACAGUCUAGUCUAGGGAAGAUUGUAGACAGUAUGCAGUCUCUUAAAAUGAAGAUAAAUCGAGACCAGGUGUUAACGGUGAAGAGGAGAUUGGAGUAUACUGUGAGCAUACCAAGUGACACAAGUCAGUCUUACUUCAACAUUGGCAUUUGCAGCCUGCCUAGUGGCCAGGUCAUUGUUGCAGAUUACAAUAAUAAGAAAGUGAAGCUGUUUGACCAGCAUUACAAUGUGUCCAGUCACUGUGAUGUGUCUGGUCCUCUAUUGGACAUUUGCCAAAUCACAUCCAGUGAGGUGGCUGCAACUUGCAAUAAAGAUGUACAAUUUAUCUCUAUGAACAAUGGGAAGCUGUUGAGUGGGAGGAAGAUUUCAUUACAGCACUAUGCCAAAGGUAUUGCCCACCAUAAGGGAGAGUUGUAUAUCACCUCUGGCACUGCCCUGUACCACUACAAUAUGACUGGAACACUUGUGAAAAAACUGUUUGAGGAUGCUGGAGACACUUUUACAGUGUUUUACUGUGCAGUGAAUCCUGCUGGGGACAAGAUCUAUGUCACCAACAACCAGCAGCACAAGCUCCUUACUCUGGCUACAGAUGGGACCCUGAUAUCCACCCUUGAGCACCCUGAACUACAAUGCCCAAGGGGUGUACACAUAACACCUGCAGGGCAAGUGUUAGUCUGUGGAUACACUUCCAAUACUGUCAUACAAGUGGAUCAUGAGGGAAAAAAGAAACUAGCAACUCUGGCUUCACAAAGAGAUGGACUCAGCCAACCAGCCUCUGUCUGCUACAACACCAACAUACCAGAUCAUUGUGGGACUAAAUAAUAACAGUAAAAUCAUCGUUAUGGACUUGCAAUAGCUCUUCCAUUGGAUGAAAACAUGUACAUAAAACUAUUAUAUAAACGUAAUUGCCCAUUUUUCUUUGAAUGGCUUAUUCAGUAUGAGCAAUUUAUAUCUAGGUAAAGAACAAGAGCUGUCACCAUAGGAUGACAUAUGCCCCCGAAAAACGCUUUUUCGAAACCUAAACACAGAUUUCAAAACCUUAACGCAGUUCCCAAGUUCAAGAUGAAGGUGAAAGGGGUAAAAAUUUGUGUGCGUAUGGAAAGGUCUUGUCCAUAUACACAUGCAUACCAAAUAUGAAGGUUACAUCUGAAGCGACAUAGAAGUUAUGAGCAUUUUUCGAAACCUAAAUGCAGAUUGCGAAACCUAAACGCGGACCCUAAGUUGAAGGUCAAGGUGAAAGGGGUAAAAAUGUGUGUUCGUGGAAAGCCCUUGUCCAUAUACACAUGCAUACCAAAUAUGAAGGUUACAUCUGAAGCGACAUAGAAGUUAUGAGCAUUUUUCGAAACCUAAAUGCAGAUUUCGAAACCUAAACGCGGACCCUAAGUUUAAGGUGAAGGUGAAAGGGGUAAAAAUUUGUGUGCGUAUGGAAAGGCCUUGACCAUAUACACAUGCAUACCAUAUAUGAAGGUUACAUCUGAAGUGACAUAGAAGUUAUGAGCAUUUUUCAAAAAAGUGUGACGGACAGACAGACAGACAGACGGACAGACAG